rnacentral:rRNA from 1 species
GACGUAGGGCGCGAGCGUUGUCCGGAUUUAUUGGGCGUAAAGAGCUCGUAGGCGGCUCGUUGCGUCGGCUGUGAAAACCCGCAGCUCAACUGUGGGCUUGCAGCUGAUACGGGCGGGCUGGGAUUCGGUAGGGGAGACUGGAAUUCCUGGUGUAGCGGUGAAAUGCGCAGAUAUCAGGAGGAACACCCGUGGCGAAGGCGGCUUCCUGGAUCACCCCUGACGCUGAGACGCGAAAGCGUGGGGAGCGAACGGG